AAAGUUUUAUAACUUAUUCGUGCAAAAGUUCUAAUAUUUGGAGAUAAGUUUCUUUGGUUUGUUACUGCUAGAGAACACUGUUUAUAUAAGUCCCUCUGGUUUAUAAUUUUACUAUCACAAAUAUGUCACUUCAAAAGUUAUAACAGUAUAAUAAUCUGUCACGCCCCCGGAUUACUCGUUUUUCCGGGCACGUCGACAAAUCCGGCGUAUACAAAGGACUUUCCCCUGUAUACGAAGCGAUAGCUGUACCUGUACCUGUAUUUAUACAAUACUACAACCAGUAGUAUAGAGCUGCUAAAGAAAAAAGCAUAUAUAAUAACAGAGUUUCAUCAUACAUUCGUCGCAUCCAGAUAUACAAAACACUCGCUCCAGCGAGAUACAACAUCAGUAUGUAUAAUAACCCAAAAACUAUAACUACAUGUAGCUGGUAUACUCUAGAUCAGCAGCAACUGGGAAAGGAUCUAAAUCGCGACUCCCUUUUCACGAUCCGAAACAGCAGCAGCAACAGCCGAAGAAGAAGGCUCUGCAAAAGAUUCCAACAAUUGGGCGUGAGAACUACUGCAAAAAGGAGCAGUCCUCAGUGGGUACCGCUACCGACCUCUACGGCUUACUCACUAAGUCUACAGAUGAUAUGCUCAAUGAUAGUAAAGAACUCGAAAUACUCUACAGGUACAUGCUACUAUACUAUUAGGUACCGUUUGGUUCGGGUAUAAGCAAGAACUAGCUAUUACAGGGAUAGGUACAAGUAUGGGGAUAAGAAAAAUAGCGUUUGGAUGAAAAUUGGGUUGUUCCCGAGGAUAAGAAAAAUAUUAUGAAGUUUUAUAUAGAAAAUGAAGAUGUUGGUGGGGAUAACCGAGAACUACUAUUCUCGGGUAAAAAAUUAGCGUUUGGGUAUAAAGGGGGGAAUAAGGG
rnacentral:lncRNA from 1 species